AAGUUGACAGAGGGGUAUCAGACAAUAUUUGUUAUUGAAAGUGGGUAUUGACUUCGAUGGGGUUGAGAACCACUGAUUUUAAAUGAUUGAAACUGAGCAGCUUAUGUGAAAGUUUAAAUAUGGCUCUGGGUACCUAAGAGAGUCCCUGAUGGCACCAGAAAUUUGAUAGCAGUGCUCAGCAGAAACAAGCAGACAUUAUUAUUUCACUCGGUUCAGCAGCAGCCCUUGCAUCACUGGUUUUAGCAGCAAGGGCCUGGUAAAUUUCUCAGCCCUAAAAGUAAAAAUGGAUGUAGGCUCCUGGUAGGCGUCUUCCUGGCUCCAUGGAAGAAUAUUCCCAUCCUGCAACUUGAUAUCCUUACCCCACUCAACCAAGAUGAGAACAGGGAAUUAGAAAAACAAAUCAGGCCCAGGAGGUGAGAACACUCUUGGGAUCUGUUCUUCAUCAGAAAGUCCCAAGUUGGAACUGAAAGCCUGUGCUUUAUGGCUUCCAGGUGAGGGUGUGGCACAUAGGCCACCAGACCCAGAAGCUAGAGGAGGCACUGAAGGAGCACAAGUCCUCCGUAUCCUGCAUCCGGGUGAAGAAGAGCAACGAGGAGUGCGUCACAGCCAGCACGGACGGCACCUGCAUCAUCUGGGACCUUGUGCGUCUUAGAAGGAAUCAGAUGAUCCUGGCUAACACCUUAUUCCAGUGUGUCUGUUACCACCCGGAGGAGUUCCAGAUCAUCACCAGUGGCACAGACAGAAAGAUUGCUUACUGGGAAGUGUUCGACGGCUCAGUCAUCAGAGAGUUGGACGGUUCCUUGUCCGGGGCUGUCAACGGCAUGGACAUCACAGUGGAAGGCGUGCACUUUGUC